CCCAGAGAGAUCAGAGAAUAUUGCUAUUGU
rnacentral:piRNA from 1 species